rnacentral:rRNA from 1 species
AUUGAACGCUGGCGGCAGGCCUAACACAUGCAAGUCGAACGAGUGGCGGACGGGUGAGUAAUGUCUGGGCAACUGCCUGAUGGAGGGGGAUAACUACUGGAAACGGUAGCUACUACCGCAUACCAUCGGAUGUGCCCAGAUGGGAUUAGCUAGUCGGUGGGGUAAAGGCCCACCUAGGCGACGAUCCCUAGCUGGUCUGAGAGGCUGACCAGCCACACUGGGACUGAGACACGGCCCAGAAUCCUACGGGAGGCAGCAGUGGGGAAUAUUGCACAAUGGGCGAAAGUCUGAUGGAGCCAUGCCGCGUGUAUGAAGAAGGCCUUCGGGUUGUAAAGUACUGUCGGCGGGGAGGCGUUACCCGAAGAAGAAGCACCGGCUAACUCCGUGCCAGCAGCCGCGGUAAUAC